rnacentral:circRNA from 1 species
AUAUCAAGUUAUUCUAGUACAACCAUAUAAAUAAAUAAUACCUGAAGUCUCAGUGUAACAUGGACAAUUAACAGUGAUGACAGAUAAAUACAGACGCAUGGGGAUCAAAUACUAGGCAAAACGCUUUUUAAAAGUGUAUCAGGCUUUUAAGAAACACUGCAGGAUCCUGUCUAUCUUAAUGCUGAUAGAGCUCAGCUAAAAAUUUAGGAGGUUCUAGUAUUCUUCAUGGCUGAAGCUGAGAGAGUCUGAAACCCUGAUGCUUAAGCUCCAUUCUAGAUCAUAGCUCCAACUCCUUCAGGAUAUAAGGAAAAGAGAUUAUAUUUCCACAAUGAUAGAUCUUUGGUUGUACAGGUUUCCCAAUGAGUGGAUCAUGAUGACCGUAUUGUAGGGACUUGCCAUAGUAUGGCUGCUUCCCGAUCUACUCGUGUUACAAGAUCAACAGUGGGGUUAAACGGCUUGGAUGAAUCUUUUUGUGGUAGAACUUUAAGGAAUCGUAGCAUUGCGCAUCCUGAAGAAAUCUCUUCUAAUUCUCAAGUACGAUCAAGAUCACCAAAGAAGAGACCAGAGCCUGUGCCAAUUCAGAAAGGAAAUAAUAAUGGGAGAACCACUGAUUUAAAACAGCAGAGUACCCGAGAAUCAUGGGUAAGCCCUAGGAAAAGAGGACUUUCUUCUUCAGAAAAGGAUAACAUAGAAAGGCAGGCUAUAGAAAAUUGUGAGAGAAGGCAAACAGAACCUGUUUCACCAGUUUUAAAAAGAAUUAAGCGUUGUCUUAGAUCUGAAGCACCAAACAGUUCAGAAGAAGAUUCUCCUAUAAAAUCAGACAAGGAGUCAGUAGAACAGAGGAGUACAGUAGUGGACAAUGAUGCAGAUUUUCAAGGGACUAAACGAGCUUGUCGAUGUCUUAUACUGGAUGAUUGUGAGAAAAGGGAAAUUAAAAAGGUGAAUGUCAGUGAGGAAGGGCCACUUAAUUCUGCAGUAGUUGAAGAAAUCACAGGCUAUUUGGCUGUCAAUGGUGUUGAUGACAGUGAUUCAGCUGUUAUAAACUGUGAUGACUGUCAGCCUGAUGGGAACACUAAACAAAAUAGCAUUGGUUCCUAUGUGUUACAGGAAAAAUCAGUAGCUGAAAAUGGGGAUACGGAUACCCAAACUUCAAUGUUCCUUGAUAGUAGGAAGGAGGACAGUUAUAUAGACCAUAAGGUGCCUUGCACAGAUUCACAAGUGCAGGUCAAGUUGGAGGACCACAAAAUAGUAACUGCCUGCUUGCCUGUGGAACAUGUUAAUCAGCUGACUACUGAGCCAGCUACAGGGCCCUUUUCUGAAACUCAGUCAUCUUUAAGGGAUUCUGAGGAGGAAGUAGAUGUGGUGGGAGAUAGCAGUGCCUCAAAAGAGCAGUGUAAAGAAAACACCAAUAACGAACUGGACACAAGUCUUGAGAGUAUGCCAGCCUCCGGAGAACCUGAACCAUCUCCUGUUCUAGACUGUGUUUCAGCUCAAAUGAUGUCUUUAUCAGAACCUCAAGAACAUCGUUAUACUCUGAGAACCUCACCACGAAGGGCAGCCCCUACCAGAGGUAGUCCCACUAAAAACAGUUCUCCUUACAGAGAAAAUGGACAAUUUGAGGAGAAUAAUCUUAGUCCUAAUGAAACAAAUGCAACUGUUAGUGAUAAUGUAAGUCAAUCUCCUACAAAUCCUGGUGAAAUUUCUCAAAAUGAAAAAGGGAUAUGUUGUGACUCUCAAAAUAAUGGAAGUGAAGGAGUAAGUAAACCACCCUCAGAGGCAAGACUCAAUAUUGGACAUUUGCCAUCUGCCAAAGAGAGUGCCAGUCAGCACAUUACAGAAGAGGAAGAUGAUGAUCCUGAUGUUUAUUACUUUGAAUCAGAUCAUGUGGCACUGAAACACAACAAAGA